rnacentral:rRNA from 1 species
GAUUAACGCUGGCGGCAUGCCUUAUGCAUGCAAGUAGAACGUGUCUCCGCAAGGCGAUCAGUUGCGAACGGCUGAGUAAUGGAUAGGAAUCUCCCCAAUGGUGUGGAAUACCCAAUCAAAAGAUGGGCUAAUACCGCAUACGACCUGAGGGUGAAAGCAGGGGAUCGCAAGAACUUGCGUUAUACGAGUGGCCGGUGUCAGAUGAGCUAGUUGGUGAGGUAAAGACUCACCAAGGCGACGAUCUGGAGCGGGUUUGAGAGGAUGAUCCGCCACACUGGGACUGAGAACCGGCCCAGACUCCUACAGGAGGCAGCAGUGGGGAAUUUUGGACAAUGGGGGCAACCCUGAUCCAGCCAUGCCGCGUGAGUGAGGAAGGCAUUCGGGUUGUAAGGCUCUUUCGGCCGGGAAGAAAUCGCACAGGCUAAUACACUGUGUGGAUGACGGUACCGGCAGAAGAAGCACCGGCUAACUUCGUGCCAGCCGCAGCGGUAA